UUUUAAUCUAAAAUCUAGUUUUACAUUAAUAAUGAUUAGUACCCUGGAAGAAAAUCUCCUAUGACCAACAUAAUGAAGGUUUUUGAUAAAUUCACCUGGAUUGGACUUCUCACAAGUUUACUCUGGAAGUCUUCUUAUGAUGGUUCUGGCUCUCUCUGCUGCUGUAAUGGGAUAUGCUUUCUCUUGCAACCUUAGGGCCAUCGUUCUCUCUCCAGCUUUUGAGACUUACAUUGACACUUCUGAACAAAUUAUUUCCAACAAUUUGAAGGCUGCAAUUGAUUCCACGGAGUUAAUUUACCAUUAUCUGAAUAUAUCCUCAAACCCCUGGCAGAUGGCAUUAACAAAACAUAUUCAACCUUUGGCU